CUUAACUUCGGGAUUGCCUUUGAAACUAAUGCUCUUGAGUGUAGUCGAGGACGGCGGAAUGAGUUAUGUAGCGGUGAAAUGCAUAGAUAUAACUCAGAACACCAAUUGCGAAGGCAGCUGUCUAGGCUAUAACUGACGCUGAGGCACGAAAGCGUGGGGAGCGAACAGGAUUAGAUACCCUGGUAGUCCACGCUGUAAACUAUGAUCACUCGCUGUUGGCGAUAUACAGUCAGCGGCUGAGCGAAAGCAUUAAGUGAUCCACCUGGGGAGUACGUCGGCAACGAUGAAACUCAAAGGAAUUGACGGGGGCCCGCACAAGCGGAGGAACAUGUGGUUUAAUUCGAUGAUACGCGAGGAACCUUACCUGGGCUUAAAUGUAGAGUGCAUGGGAGGGAAACCUUCCUUUCCUUCGGGACUC
rnacentral:rRNA from 1 species